rnacentral:rRNA from 1 species
UACGUAGGGUGCAAGCGUUGUCCGGAAUUAUUGGGCGUAAAGAGCUUGUAGGCGGUUUGUCGCGUCUGCUGUGAAAUUUCGGGGCUCAACCCCGAACUUGCAGUGGGUACGGGCAGACUAGAGUGUGAUAGGGGAGACUGGAAUUCCUGGUGUAGCGGUGAAAUGCGCAGAUAUCAGGAGGAACACCGAUGGCGAAGGCAGGUCUCUGGGCCACUACUGACGCUGAGAAGCGAAAGCAUGGGGAGCGAACAGG